AAGCGCGGGAGUUAACUGUAACUGCUCGCGCCAAGAAUUAUUAAUCCCCAAACACCCAAAGUCCCAAACAUCUCUCUCUCUCUCUCUCUCUCUCUGUUCUCGCUUGCAUUGCAUUGGCUCGUCUGAUUCCCAACAAAUUCAUAACGUUAAACGUUUCCUUCACAAACUGUUUCAGUUAGCGCCAGCUUACAACGUUUUAUAGGUAUGGACGUGGCGCACUGCAAACUGGACGGCAAUGCAGACGCCGUGGAGUUUUGUCCACACGACAAUUACCACAGGGUUCUUGCGGCUUCAACGUAUACUUUACAAGAAGGUGAUAAGCCAAGUCGAACAGGAAGCAUUUCGCUAUUCAAUGUCAAUGCUGAAGAGAACAAUAUGGAAUUGUUUUAUAGAAGGGACACAGCUGGAAUUUUUGAUAUUAAAUGGAGCCCAGUUGGUGGUUUUAUGGGUCCUUUGCUUGCCCAAGCUGAUGCUGAUGGUUAUGUGAAGGUUUAUAACCUUGAGUACUCUCUAGAUGAUUCAGAAGCUGGAGGGGGUUUUCUAAGAGAUGUCAAUUGUGAAAAGAUCAGCUCCUCCAUGUGCCUUUGCUUAGAGUGGAACCCAUCAGCCACAUCCAUCACAGUUGGGCUUUCUGAUGGUUCUGUUUCAAUUAUCUCCCUUGAAGAGUCAAAACUUGAAAUUCAGCAAGACUGGAAAGCACAUGAUUUUGAACUAUGGGCCACUUCAUUUGACAUUCACCAACCUCAGCUGGUGUACACCGGCUCAGAUGACUGCAAAUUUAGCUGUUGGGAUAUACGGGGUAGUACUUCAUCCACAUUGGCAUUUCAGAACUCCAAGACUCACAAAAUGGGUGUUUGUUGCAUUGCUAAGAGCCCUAGUGAUCCUAAUACUGUACUUACUGGUAGUUAUGACGAGCAUCUGAGGGUAUGGGAUGUAAGGUCAAUCUCAAAACCGGUGAAUGAAACUUCAGUUUGUUUACGGGGAGGAGUUUGGAGAAUCAAGCACCACCCUUUUGUACCAGGUGUGGUAUUGACAGCUUGUAUGCACAAUGGAUUUGCAGUUGUUGAUGUUAAAGGGGAGAAAGCCGAAGUGAUUGAAACUUAUACCAAGCAUGACUCCCUAGCUUAUGGUGCAGAUUGGCAUAGAGGGGACAUAUCCCUGGAAGGCAAAAGAAAGAAUAGUUUGGUGGCUACUUGCUCAUUUUAUGAUCAGCUUCUCCGGAUAUGGAUGCCAGAAAGUGACAUCCUCACAUGAUUUGCUUCAUUUAAAUUUAUCUUUUGCAGAUAGAUUGCAAGAAUACAAUAGCAAUAACAUGGGGAAUUCUUCGUCGUCUUAUUUUGUUAGCAAACUGGGCCUAAUACAACACUAGAAGACAUGAGAGUAGCAGAAUGAUGAAGUGAAGAGAUAAUAUUCUAGAGGCUGAGCUUAAAAGAUUGUUUAUCUUGCUGCAACUCAACUGCCAUUGCAUGAAGAUGUUUCUAUCACCUUUUUGUCUUUGCUAUUUUUUCUUCUCUAAUAUGGGGCCUCAACAUCCUCCAAAAGAGAUACACCUUUCCUUGUUUAUUCAAUUCCUUUCUGCUUUCACUUCCAAUCACAAAAAUGAUGGUGCCAUAUUCAUAUCUCAGAAUCCCCCAGCCCCACCUCCCAAUUUCUGCAAUUUCGAAGUAAAUUGUGACAACAAAAUUUGAAUUUGAAAGAAAGUUAAUGUACACAGGAUCACAUUGUAUUAGCUGGAUUAAUGGGGUCGUUGAUUCGAAUCUGUUC